AUUGAACGCUGGCGGCAGGCCUAACACAUGCAAGUCGAGCGGAUGAAGGGAGCUUGCUCCUGGAUUCGGCGGCGGACGGGUGAGUAAUGCCUAGGAAUCUGCCUGGUAGUGGGGGAUAACGUCCGGAAACGGGCGCUAAUACCGCAUACGUCCUGAGGGAGAAAGUGGGGGAUCUUCGGACCUCACGCUAUCAGAUGAGCCUAGGUCGGAUUAGCUAGUUGGUGGGGUAAAGGCCUACCAAGGCGACGAUCCGUAACUGGUCUGAGAGGAUGAUCAGUCACACUGGAACUGAGACACGGUCCAGACUCCUACGGGAGGCAGCAGUGGGGAAUAUUGGACAAUGGGCGAAAGCCUGAUCCAGCCAUGCCGCGUGUGUGAAGAAGGUCUUCGGAUUGUAAAGCACUUUAAGUUGGGAGGAAGGGCAGUAAGUCAAUACCUUGCUGUUUUGACGUUACCAACAGAAUAAGCACCGGCUAACUUCGUG
rnacentral:rRNA from 1 species